GUAGACGGCGGUGCAAGUCAGUUGUGAAAGUUUGCGGCUCAACCGUAAAAUUGCAGUUGAAACUGGCAGUCUUGAGUACAGCAGAGGUGGGCGGAAUUCGUGGUGUAGCGGUGAAAUGCUUAGAUAUCACGAAGAACUCCGAUUGCGAAGGCAGCUCACUGGACUGGUCACUGACACUGAGGCUCGAAAGUGUGGGUAUCAAACA
rnacentral:rRNA from 1 species